rnacentral:rRNA from 1 species
GAUGAACGCUGGCGGCGUGCCUAACACAUGCAAGUCGAGCGAUUCUCUUCGGAGAAGAGCGGCGGACGGGUGAGUAACGCGUGGGUAACCUGCCCUGUACACACGGAUAACAUACCGGAAGGUAUGCUAAUACGGGAUAACAUAAGAAAUUCGCAUGUUUUUCUUAUCAAAGCUCCGGCGGUACAGGAUGGACCCGCGUCUGAUUAGCUAGUUGGUGAGGUAAUGGCUCACCAAGGCGACGAUCAGUAGCCGACCUGAGAGGGUGAUCGGCCACAUUGGAACUGAGACACGGUCCAAACUCCUACGGGAGGCAGCAGUGGGGAAUAUUGCACAGUGGGCGAAAGCCUGAUGCAGCAACGCCGCGUGAGCGAUGAAGGCCUUCGGGUCGUAAAGCUCUGUCCUCAAGGAAGAUAAUGACGGUACUUGAGGAGGAAGCCCCGGCUAACUACGUGCCAGCAGCCGCAGUAAAAC